GCGGCUAUGGUGUAAUUGGUUAACAUGACUGCCUUCCAAGCAGUAGAGUACGGGUUCAAGUCCCGUUAGCCGCU
rnacentral:tRNA from 1 species